AGCUCCAAUAGCGUAUAUUAAAGUUGUUGCAGUUAAAAAGCUCGUAGUUGGACUUCUGACCUGGGACUGCGCCCCUCUUCGGAGAGGGGUGCGGACUCGGGUCUUCCUCUCGUAGUUGGAUGGUGCACUUAACUGGGUGCCUUCUGAAUAUGGGACCUUUACUUUGAAAAAAUUAGAGUGUUCAAAGCAGGCAAUCGCUUGAAUAUAUUAGCAUGGAAUAAUGGAAUAGGACUAUGGUCUCUUUGUUGGUUUGAGGGACUGCAGUAAUGAUUAAUAGGGAUAGUUGGGGGCAUUAGUAUUUAAUUGUCAGAGAUGGAAUUCUCAGAUUUGUUAAAGACUAACUUAUGCGAAAGCAUUUGCCAAGGAUGUUU
rnacentral:rRNA from 1 species